AUUGAACGCUGGCGGCAUGCCUUACACAUGCAAGUCGAACGGCAGCACGGGGCAACCUGGUGGCGAGUGGCGAACGGGUGAGUAAUGCAUCGGAACGUACCUUUCAGUGGGGGAUAACGUAGCGAAAGUUACGCUAAUACCGCAUAUUCUGUGAGCAGGAAAGCAGGGGAUCGCAAGACCUUGCGCUGAUUGAGCGGCCGAUGUCCGAUUAGCUAGUUGGUGAGGUAAAGGCUCACCAAGGCGACGAUCUUGAGCGGGUCUGAGAGGAUGAUCCGCCACACUGGAACUGAGACACGGUCCAAGCUCCUACGGGAGGCAGCAGUGGGGAAUUUUGGAAAAGGGGGGCAACCCUGAUCCAGCCAUGCCGCGUGAGGGAAGAAGGCCUUCGGGUUGUAAAGCUCUUUCGGCCGGGAAGAAAUCGCACGGGCUAAUACCCUGUGUGGAUGACGGUACCGGAAUAAUAAGCACCGGCUAACUACGUGCCAGCCGCCGCCGUAACAC
rnacentral:rRNA from 1 species